rnacentral:rRNA from 1 species
GAACGCUGGCGGCGUGCUUAACACAUGCAAGUCGAACGAGAAGUGGAGACGGAAACCUUCGGGCGGAAGACUUUAUUUCGAGUGGCGGACGGGUGAGUAACGCGUGGGUAACCUGCCUCAUACAGGGGGAUAACAGUUGGAAACGACUGUUAAUACCGCAUAAGACCACAGCACCGCAUGGUGCGGGGGUAAAAACUCCGGUGGUAUGAGAUGGACCCGCGUUCGAUUAGCCAGUUGGCGGGGUAACGGCCCACCAAAGCGACGAUCGAUAGCCGAUCUGAGAGGAUGACCGGCCACAUUGGGACUGAGACACGGCCCAAACUCCUACGGGAGGCAGCAGUGGGGAAUAUUGCACAAUGGGGGAAACCCUGAUGCAGCGACGCCGCGUGAGUGAAGAAGUAUUUCGGUAUGUAAAGCUCUAUCAGCAGGGAAGAAAAUGACGGUACCUGAGUAAGAAGCCCCGGCUAACUACGUG